rnacentral:rRNA from 1 species
UACGUAGGGGGCAAGCGUUGUCCGGAGUUAUUGGGCGUAAAGAGCGUGUAGGCGGCUUCACAGGUCCGCUGUGAAAACUCGAGGCUCAACCUCGAGCUGUCGGUGGAAACCGUGUAGCUAGAGUCCGGAAGAGGAGAGUGGAAUUCCCGGUGUAGCGGUGAAAUGCGCAGAUAUCGGGAAGAACACCCGUGGCGAAGGGGGCUCUCUGGGACGGUACUGACGCUGAGACGCGAAAGCGUGGGGAGCGAACAGG